GGAGAAAUACUUCCUGACCCGUCAGACUAUAAAUCUUCACUCAUAGCACUGACUGCUCAUAAUUGGCUGCUUCGUAUAUCAGCAACUACAGGGGAAAUCCUGGAGAAAAUAUACCUUGCUUCCUAUUGCAAAUUCAGGUACCUGAGCUGGGACACUCCUCAAGAGGUCAUUGCAGUGAAGUCGGCUCAGAACAAAGGGUCUGCAGCAGCUCGGCAGGUCCGCAGCCACCACACAGUCCUUGGGGUUGCACACUGUGAAAGCCAGUGCUGUUAAACUUAAGCAGACUUGAUAUGGGCUUCUCUCUAUUUUAUACUUAUUUAUUUGGGGUCCUGGGGAUUGAUCCAUGCAUGCCCCCCGUGCUCUAGUGUUCAGCUACAUCCCUUGGCUGUUCUCUCUAGAGAAUCAUCCAGAAUCGGUCAGA
rnacentral:lncRNA from 1 species